rnacentral:rRNA from 1 species
UACGUAGGUGGCAAGCGUUGACCGGAUUUACUGGGCGUAAAGAGCGCGCAGGCGGUCGUUCAAGUCGCGUGUGAAAGCCCCCGGCUCAACUGGGGAGGGUCACGCGAUACUGAUCGACUCGAAGGCAGGAGAGGGUAGUGGAAUUCCCGGUGUAGUGGUGAAAUGCGUAGAUAUCGGGAGGAACCACAGUGGCGAAGGCGACUACCUGGGCUGUUUCUUGACGCUGAGGCGCGAAAGCUAGGGGAGCAAACGGG